GUUUUAACUUAGAGUUUGUUGAACCUGCUUUCUGAAACGGGCCCCUGUUCUCUGAUGGCUGAGUAAACACACUUUCACCAUCAUCUGUUGUUUCCAGUUCAUUGUUAUUCACCAACCACUUGCUCAUCUACCUUCCAUAACCCAGCCUUUUACAUCCCUGACCUCCCCCACUAUCCCCUUGACAGUUACCCCCGCCCCUCCCUGUAGAGUAUCCUGCAGGCCCAAUGGUGACAACAGCUGACAGCAAUUACAAUCAAAAGGGGCGGGAGGAUAAAGCCUGUGCUCUCCCACACCACUUGGCUCUAAGCCCACGGUUGAUACUGGUUGUAUCGUGUUUGGGCACUACGCCAUUGAUUUGGACACUACCGGUCGCAUUUGUAGGCUUUCAUGCCAUUGCUUGUAGGCUCUUUAGCCUUCAUUAUGUUGUCUUGCUGGUCUUGCCCGGCAAGUUACAUUUCCCUGGCGAUAGUCAUUUGCUUGUGUGGUACUAGUUUGUAUUAUCGAGCUGAGUGGGUUAUUGUUUAGUGCUUGUUUGUCUUACUGUUGUUCCUGUUUUGUUCUCCCUUGCCCUUAUCCCUUUCCAGUCAAUAAAUAUUAUUAUUCAAUUUACAAAACGUGUUUGCUUUGGAUCCUUUCUACUACCGGGACCUGUGCUUUGGCACCUGCUGUACGGGCUGAGGUCACGCCAGCCCUAUUCAGUGUAGGCUGUGUACAUUUAUAGUUUAGUUAAAUACAUUUGUAUGUGACAUGGGGGCUCGUGCCUUUGGACGGUAGGUUUUAAAUUCGUUUUCUAUUUGUAUUAUUGUAUUAUGUUUUUUAUUAAUUGUGUCAUGUUCUCUUUGGUCGCCGCAUAGGUAAAGGGUGGAUCGCCUGGUUGAUUAGGGGAGGGGGGGGCGACGCGCUGUGUACCCCGGUGGAGCGAGCAAUGAAGCCGUGCAUUAGGGAAGGCUGAGUACAAGGCAGCUCUGCUGUCUGCGUUGAUCAGACAGCAAAUACUCAGCUUGCCUACGUCCCAGGUGCUUCCGGAGGAUGACGUCCCACUCUUCGGAGGAGCCGGUGACGGGGGGUGAGGCUGGGGGCGACGCUGACAGUAAACAUGGCAACGUGGGUCUCGACCCGAGGGGUGGAGCCAUUUCCAGGACUGGUGGCACUGUCAAGCUUGGGGGGUCCUGUGGUAGAGGACCCUGAUAGUGAUUGUUCGGUGGGUUCUGGAAGCGGUUCUGCUCCUCCGUCUAGUCCGACGCUACAGGCGUGCUUUAAGCUGCGUUAAGCCCGUCUUCGCCUAGAGGAGGCGGCGGCUAUCCGUAGAGAGGCGAAGGAGGAAAGAGAGGGACAGGUCAUUCCAGUUGUCGAUGAAAAAUCUAGAGGUAGAGUCAGCCUUUAGACUGCGCCAGCUGGAAUUGCAGGGUAGUCACGCAUUAGGUAACGUUUCAUUGUCUUCCGACUCCAAUGCCGUGUUCAAUGUCAGUAAACAUGUGUCGUUAGUUCCCAUUUUCCAUGAGACUGAGGUAGAAACAUAUUUUACUGCCUUUGAGCGGAUUGCCCGUGCCCUGCAUUGGCCGGAUGAUAGGUGGGCUAUUCUGUUGCAAUGUAAGCUCACUGGUAAGGCUCAGGAGGCGUGCGCCGCUCUUUCCAUCGAAGAUAGUUUGGUUUACGAGAAAGUGAAAACCGCUGUCUUGCGUGUAUAUGAGCUUGUUCCCGAAGCGUACAGACAACGUUUUCGCAACUUAAAGAAAACCCAGACUCAGACAUAUGUCGAUUUUUCUCGAGAUGGGAAUUUUGAUUGAACAAUUUAAGGAUUGCAUGCCCGAACGCACCGUCAUUUACUUAAACGAGCAAAAAGUGACUACACUUCAGCAAGCUGCAGUGCUUGCUGACGAAUUGUCGUUGACGCAUAAAAAUAUUUUUGUUGGUCCAGAGGCAUAUUCCAGAGGCGAUUUUCCCUCACCUCGUGGGUCGGCGUCCAGGGUGGAUGACCGACGGGCAUUUCAGACACACCCGCUGCCAUCUAAGGUGGCCGAGGUGUGUCGGUAUUGCAAGAAACCUGGCCACGUCAUGAGCCAAUGUUUUUUGUUGAGGCGAAAGGAGGAGGCGAAAACUACGGCUCAGAGGACUAAAGGAGUGGGGUUGAUUAAUACGGUGUCUUGUCAUGACCAAAAUGACUCUCUGAGGAGAGCGGAUAAGUGCUUUAAGCUUUGUGUCCUUCUCUGGAGAGGUGUCUGAUCAACGCCCAGUUAAAGGGGUAGUUCGGAAUUUUGGACAUAGGGCCUGAUUCCGAAGUGAGCAUUGGUAUUCUAUAUCACUGGAGACAGUUUUCAACACAUUUCAUUCAGUCCUUCU
ensembl:lncRNA